UUGAGAAAACCUUCUAAGUUAUGGUUAUUACAACUCGUACCGCAAACCGACACAGGUAGUCGAGAAGAGUAUUCUAAGGCGCUCGGGUGAGCCGCGGAGAAGGAACUAGGCAAAUUGUAGCUGUAACUUCGGGAUAAAGCUAUCCCUCAGCAAUGGGGGAUUCAAUGAAAUGGUUCAACCAACUGUUUAGCAAAAACACAGGGCCCUGCAAAAUCGAAAGAUGACGUAUAGAGCCUGAUACCUGCCCGGUGCUGGAAGGUUAAGGAAGCUUGUUCGGGUUAAACCAAAGCUUGUGACCGAAGCCCCAGUAAACGGCGGCCGUAACAAUAACGGUCCUAAGGUAGCGAAAUUCCUUGUCGGGUAAGUUCCGACCUGCACGAAUGGUCUAAUGAGUUGAACACUGUCUCCUCCGCGAGCCCGGUGAAAUUGUAGUAUCGGUGAAGAUGCCGGUUACCCGCCACGGGACGAAAAGACCCCGUGAACCUUCACUACAACUUUGCAUUGAUUUUGAGUAACAGAUGUGUAGCAUAGUUGGGAGGCUAUGAAGCAGGUGCGCCAGCAUUUGUGGAGCCAACGUUGAAAUACCAACCUUCUGUUACUUAGAGUCUAAUCCCUGUAAAGGGAAACAUUGCAUGGUGGGUAGUUUGACUGGGGUGGUCGCCUCCUAAAGCGUAACGGAGGCUCGCAAAGGUACCCUCAGUACGGUUGGUAAUCGUACGUAGAGCGCAUUAGUAUAAGGGUGCUUGACUGUGAGACUGACUAGUCGAGCAGGUGCGAAAGCAGGCUAAAGUGAUCCGGUGGUUUCCGAAUGGAAGGGCCAUCGCUCAAAGGAUAAAAGGUACUCCGGGAUAACAGGCUGAUCUCACCCAAGAGCUCAUAUCGACGGUGAGGUUUGGCACCUCGAUGUCGGUUCGUCACAUCCUGGGGCUGGAGAAGGUCCCAAGGGUUCGGCUGUUCGCCGAUUAAAGUGGCACGUGAACUGGGUUCAGAACGUCGCAAGACAGUUCGGUCUCUAUCUGUGGUGGGCGUUAGUAAAUUGCGAGGACAUGCUCUUAGUACGAGAGGACCGGAGCGUAUGUACCGCUGGUGUAUCUGUUGUUCCGCCAGGGGCAGUGCAGAGUAGCUAUGUACAGUCAGGAUAAGCGCUGAAAGCAUCUAAGCGCGAAACCUUCCUCAAGAUGAGUUUACUUUUAAGGGCCGUCAAAGACUAUGACGUCGAUAGGCUACAGAUGUAAAGGUGGUAACAUCAAAGUCGAGUAGUACUAAUUGCCCGUAAGCUUUAAUGA
rnacentral:rRNA from 1 species